GGCGCACGGGUGAGUAACGCGUAUCCAACCUUCCCCUUAGUAGGGCAUAGCCCGGCGAAAGUCGGAUUAAUACCCUAUGUUCUUCGUAGAGGACAUCUGAAAUGAAGCAAAGAUUUAUCGCUAAGGGAUGGGGAUGCGUCUGAUUAGGUAGUCGGCGGGGUAACGGCCCACCGAGCCUGCGAUCAGUAGGGGUUCUGGGAGGAAGGUCCCCCACAUUGGAACUGAGACACGGUCCAAACUCCUACGGGAGGCAGCAGUGAGGAAUAUUGGUCAAUGGGCGCGAGCCUGAACCAGCCAAGUAGCGUGCAGGAUGACGGCCCUAUGGGUUGUAAACUGCUUUUAUAGGGGAAUAAAGUGAGGGACGUGUCCCUUUUUGUAUGUACCCUAUGAAUAAGGACCGGCUAAUUCCGUGCCAGCCGCCGC
rnacentral:rRNA from 1 species